rfam:Methylophaga nitratireducenticrescens strain JAM1, complete genome.
CUAACCCUGCGGUGAGCGAUAGCGACAUGUGUUGUCUUGAGCCGAUAAGCAAAUGCUUUAGGAAACCAAAUUUACGGGGUUGAAAAACAAGCCCGCUCCGACGGGAAGUUUGCCAUCCCCAUGCGGUUUCCCACUUGAACCAACAGGUUCAAGAACCCCGUUCGUAACGCCACCGUGGGGCCUUU